rnacentral:rRNA from 1 species
CAUUUAAAGGGAGACAGCCAUGCAGUCGAGCGGCAGCACGGGUACUUGUACCUGGUGGCGAGCGGCGGACGGGUGAGUAAUGCCUAGGAAUCUGCCUGGUAGUGGGGGAUAACGCUCGGAAACGGACGCUAAUACCGCAUACGUCCUACGGGAGAAAGCAGGGGACCUUCGGGCCUUGCGCUAUCAGAUGAGCCUAGGUCGGAUUAGCUAGUUGGUGAGGUAAUGGCUCACCAAGGCGACGAUCCGUAACUGGUCUGAGAGGAUGAUCAGUCACACUGGAACUGAGACACGGUCCAGACUCCUACGGGAGGCAGCAGUGGGGAAUAUUGGACAAUGGGCGAAAGCCUGAUCCAGCCAUGCCGCGUGUGUGAAGAAGGUCUUCGGAUUGUAAAGCACUUUAAGUUGGGAGGAAGGGCAGUUACCUAAUACGUAAUUGUUUUGACGUUACCGACAGAAUAAGCACCGGCUAACUCUGUGCCAGCAGCCGCGGUAAUACAGAGGGUGCAAGCGUUAAUCGGAAUUACUGGGCGUAAAGCGCGCGUAGGUGGUUCGUUAAGUUGGAUGUGAAAUCCCCGGGCUCAACCUGGGAACUGCAUUCAAAACUGACGAGCUAGAGUAUGGUAGAGGGUGGUGGAAUUUCCUGUGUAGCGGUGAAAUGCGUAGAUAUAGGAAGGAACACCAGUGGCGAAGGCGACCACCUGGACUGAUACUGACACUGAGGUGCGAAAGCGUGGGGAGCAAACAGGAUUAGAUACCCUGGUAGUCCACGCCGUAAACGAUGUCAACUAGCCGUUGGGAGCCUUGAGCUCUUAGUGGCGCAGCUAACGCAUUAAGUUGACCGCCUGGGGAGUACGGCCGCAAGGUUAAAACUCAAAUGAAUUGACGGGGGCCCGCACAAGCGGUGGAGCAUGUGGUGUAAUUCGAAGCAACGCGAAGAAGCUUACCAGGCCUUGACAUCCAAUGAACUUUCCAGAGAUGGAUUGGUGCCUUCGGGAACAUUGAGACAGGUGCUGCAUGACUGUCGUCAGCUCGUGUCGUGAGAUGUUGGGAUUAAGUCCCGUAACGAGCGCAACCCUUUGUCCUACGUACUAGCACGUAAUGAUGGGCACCUCUACGAGACUGGCCGUGACGACCCGGAAGGAACGUGGGGAUGACGUCCAGGUCAUCAUGGCUAACGGGCCUGACUACCCCACGGUGCCUAACAAUGAUUCGGGGGUACCCGAAG